GAAAGCCCCUUUUUACAUGGGACAUGCCUGCAAACCUCUGCUGCCAGGUCACAGCAGCUUCAGAGCAUUUGGCCACCAGAGUGGACCAGAAUGACACAGGUUGGAACCUCAGCUGCAGAUGAGAAGUGCUUUGUUUGUGACUCCUGGGUGCUCUGCACUUGAUGCAUCUCCCGACAGAGGCAGGGCAAACUCCGCUCCUCCCGCCUGGCCUGGCUCGCAAUGAUGGAUUAAGUAGGUAAACAGCUUUUUCCAACCCCACAGCAUGCUAACACGAGCCAGGCAAUUUCUCCAGAAUGCCUGGCACUGGAUGUUCAGCUGACUUGACACACUUUGGGAACAGACACUUGGUAGCAGCAAGUGCUGGCUCGUCUGGAAAUAGAGUGAGAAGUGGUCUGAUGGGAGCAGACCACCUACUCAUCCUCAAAACAGUGAGCUGCUGCUGGUGGCAACAAGGUGGAGAAAUCCCCCUUGGUGACCAAAUAGAUUUAUUUCUCACAGAUGGAUAUAGAAACCGUACCCGAGUCCCUUAGGACAAUCCAGGACCUGGAAAGUCCUUUCUGAUUUUUUAAUCUGGAUUUUUCUCCUCUUUCAAAUAAAGUGUUUCCUUCCUGAUGCUUUGAGCUCCCC
rnacentral:lncRNA from 1 species